UACGGGGGGGGGCAAGCGUUGUUCGGAAUUACUGGGCGUAAAGGGCUCGUAGGCGGCCAACUAAGUCAGACGUGAAAUCCCUCGGCUUAACCGGGGAACUGCGUCUGAUACUGGAUGGCUUGAGUUUGGGAGAGGGAUGCGGAAUUCCAGGUGUAGCGGUGAAAUGCGUAGAUAUCUGGAGGAACACCGGUGGCGAAGGCGGCAUCCUGGACCAACACUGACACUGAGGAGCGAAAGCCAGGGGAGCAAACGGG
rnacentral:rRNA from 1 species